UGUUUUCUGGGUUGGAAUGAGAA
rnacentral:miRNA from 1 species